AAGUACACGCGUUCAAGAUAAAUUAGGCUGAGUGGACUCAAGAACAUAGAUCCAAUGGCUAGUAAAACUUUCUCUGGGACUUGGGGACCAGCCAAUUUGCACCCCUCCUCCCCAUAAAAAGAAACUGGGUUUUACGUGAUUUUGUUUACCCCCAAGUCUCCCAGACCUUGGGAUCCCCAGACUCAGGGAAUUGCGGUAAAACCACUGUCCACGUGCUCUCUGGUUGAAGUUUACUUUCGUGGAGAUUUACUUUUAAGCCAUUGCCAUACACUGGCCAUGAGAAGUCAGCAGAAGAUCCCACGUUUAUUCUGUUGACAUCCUCUAACCUUGAGAAAUAGCCCAUUUAUAUUAUCACGCUUUGAUGUAUUUCCCAUUUGCGGAGCUUCUUUGAGGCAGGUGCGGAAUCCAGGACCUCAUGCACGCUGACCAAGCGCCACUUCUCAGGUAUACACUUGGCAAGUUCAUUUUUUCUUAAAUGAACGGGCUUAAUUUUGUGCUAGUCAAAGAGGAAAGAAGGAGACGCCGUGACAGAAUAAGGCUGAGCAGCAAAAAGCCAACCAGAACUGUAGAAAAGACGUGGGGAGAGAAACUGAAAUGAAGAACCAAAUACCGAGAGAUUCAAGUCCUCCAACAGACUCCAGGCUGGGCAGCAGGUGGGAUUAAUGCUAACCAGGAAGGACAUGUUUGCUUAAUUACCUAAUUGUCUUCAGGUUUGCAUUAUCUUCCUGAGCUGGAAGCUUCUUUCUGGACUCUGAUGUGAAUUGCUUUUCAGGGAACACUCCCUACGUGGCUGGAAGGAAGAUGCGAGCCCCAUGCGGGAGGAGCAUGGAUAGAACCUUUCCUGUUUGUUCACUCCCUUCUGCCUUUUCAGCUUCUGAGGGACGUGUCUCUCCCACCCAUGCAGCACCCUAGAUUCUCACUCACCUGGCUGGUCUGGUACAGAGGGUCUCUUGGAUAAGAGAGUGGUACAGGUUUCCCAGUGAACAGCUUAGCCUUGGGGGAGGGAUGUACCUUGGUGGAAAUGAACAGGACGAAUUCCCAGGAUCAGUUCCACAAAGAGAAACAAACUGGAGUUAAAUGAACAAAACAGAUGUUAGCCUCAAAUCCUUGGCACCUUAAAGAAAAGAGACGGGCGAUGGCGGUGGGUGCAGCUCAGGACUCUAGGUUCUUUUGUGGUGUCUGAAGGGGCUAUAUUCAGGAACUUACGGGUGGCAGAUGGGACAUUAGAAUUUCCUGUUACAUGAGACAUUGGAACAGUUUGCAAACUAAGAGAAAGCCCAUGUCACCCCCUUCCCCCCAUUCCUCAACCCCUGUGUUUCCUCUCACAAAUCCACUGGUGGAGAUGGCUACAGAGACUGAUGGCAUUCACUUAAGCAGAAGUAUUGUCUGCCCAGGGUUUGCUCACUUUAAGGGCCAAACCCAAACAGUGGCACUCUCCUGGAAUCAACUUCCUUGUUUGCUCCACACACCCAGGACCCUGUCAUCCAACGGCUGGUCAGAUGGUCUAGGUUUUGUGCAUGAAGACAAGAACAGCCCUCCUAGAUCCCCAAACAAAGCAAAUGCCCUCUACAGGAAGAGUGCUUUCCCAGGGCCAAGUAAGGGCUAAGCAUGGCUUUGCUGUAGCCCCUGUGCCACCACUUUGUACCUUCUUGGGUACUUUACUGCUCUCGUGCACCGAGGCAGCAGCUCUCGAUGCACACACACAGUCUCUAGGAGUCUAGCACUGGCUGUAGAGUACAAGCUGGCUUCAAACCUAAAGUGAUCCCGUUGCUUCUGCUUCUCCAAUGCUGUGAUUUCAAUGCCUAACUGUGGUGAGUCCUGAAUGGGAAAUGUUCUAUAAAACAUGGCAAAUGCAUGGAAGCCAGGAGCUGGCUUUGUGUAGUUGCUCUUCUAAAAUAGACAUCGAAUGGCAAUCCAUAUGAAGAAAAAAACAUGCGUUACCAGAAAUGGACAAGUGCAUUUUUUAUUUGGUAUGUGCUUCUGUGAGCUGUACAUACAUGUACAUGGGAGGGACAUGCCCAUACAUCCCCAUCACUCUCUCUUUCAUUUCCUUGAGACAAGAUCUCUCGAUUCACUUAGACUAGCAGCCAGCUAAGCCCUAGUGACCCUCCUGUCUCUGCCCCUAAUCUAGCAUUGGGGUUACAGGCAUAGACUGGCCUGAGUCAUCUUUGUAACCCAUUGUUUUACAUACUUUGGUUGUGUGCAUUGGACUUAAAUCUUGGCUCAUCCACAUGACCGUGUAGAAGUCCCUUAAAUGCUUGUGACUUGUUUUCUCAAUUCAGAAACUGAGCGGAAGUAUAGUGCCCAUCUCCAAGUGUCAGCGAAAACUAGAAAUUAUAAUGUAAUCACAGGGGGUAUAGAAAGAGUUCAGCAUUCGGUGGCAUCCUGCCGUCAUGGAUGUGGUAGUGACACUGUCAUGGCCACCCAGUGUUGACGUGGUCAUAAUGUUGCCAUGGCUGAAUGUCCAAACUCAGAGAAGUGUUUGAAUUUUACUCUUGAAGAAAGACCUGCUGGGGAAACAAAAGAAAACUCAUAGAACAUGGAUGAGAGAAAAGUCCAGGUGAGACAGAGCGGUAAUGGCGGGCAAUGGUGUGAAGCCUUGAGCUCUUCUCUGUGGUAAGAGGAGCUGGUACGAACCACAAAGCUGCAAUCCUGAGCAUUUGAUGUCUUUUACCCACUGUCCUUUCUGCUGGUCCAGGAGGCUGAUGUUGGAUGCUUUUCUCUUUGUGCCUAGUAACAAUUGUCUGCAGGAGGGAAUUCCAAAGGGCCAGACUCCUUUGCUGCUAGAACAAUCUAGAGCCAAUGCUGUGUUGCAGGAGUCCCAAGUGUGCAGUCUAUGUGAAAGAAAUGGAAGAGAAGGCAGAAGGAACAGAAAGCCCAUGCUCUUUAUACCCUCUCUCCUCACUAAAACAUGCCGUAGAGCAGCAGUUCUCAAUCUGUGGGUUGUGACCCCCACAGGGGUCACAUAUCAGAUAUCCUGUAUAUUGUAUAUUUACAUUAAGAGUCAUAACAGUAUCAAAGUCACAGUUAUGAAGCAGCAGUGAAAUAAUUCUAUAUUUGAGGGUUACCAACACAUGAGGGACCAUAUUCAGGGGUCACAGCAUUAGGAAGGUUGAGAACCAUUGUCUUAGCGUAUCUGGAUCCACCAUUAUGGGUUUAAUUAUUGCCCUUCCCAAAUAAUACAUUAAAAUUCAAGCAUCCAAAUUAACAGAGUCUCACUUUCCUGGAGAUAGGGUCUAAAACAGAUUAAGGGAUUUGGGGACAAGAUCUUAUCGAGCUAAAUUUAGACCCAGGCUUGGUGGUACACACCUUUAAUCCCAGGAGACAAAGCCAAACAGAUAUCUGAGUUCAAGGCCAGCCUGGGACAAAGCAGGUUUUCCGUGAAGGAAAGUUUAAAUCCAGGCAUGAUUGUACACGCCUUUAAUCCCAGCAUUACAGGAGACAGAGCCAUACAGAUUUCUGAGUUCAAGGUCAAAUUACAGAGCAAGUUCCAGGACGGGCAAGCUUAGGCAGAGAGGGAGUUGGAAAACAGAAAACUGGCAAGAGAAUAUGGAGUGGGUGGGGGAGUGUGUUCCAGCCCCAGGAAACAGCACAACAGGACAGCUUUGGCCAUGUGGCUCGGGCCAAGGGACUACUGGGACAAUUGAUACUGUCUAGCUGGAACUAAGAAUUCAGUGAUUAAGAAGAGACCAGCUUAUCACUGAGGUGAAAUCUUCUGGGAAAUGUUUUCUGAGAGCUCAAAGAAGCUGUGUUCCAGAGAUGGCCAAGGGUUUAUAACUCACGCCGCAGCUGUACUUGGUAAUGUCAGACUCACCCAGGUGGUACUGGUUGUGAAGGCCUGAAGGGAUCAUGAAGAGCAGCUGAGGCUUGACACUGUGAGAGGCCACAGAAGGCCACUGGUGAAGGUGCAACCUCAGAGGCAGUUGAUAGCCCAGGACUGACGGGGUCAUGCAAAAUAGUUGAGGCUUGGCACCAUGAAGAGAGCCUCUAAAGGCUAUUAGUGAAGCCUAGUUGUAGCAGAAGACUCCAGCGUACUGAAGAUGCCAGUACCACGGCAUGACACCAAGAGCAACAUAGCAGCAGAGUGGAUCAACCUGAGCUUAGAGUGCUACAGAGGCAGAGCUGGAGAAGUGACACUAACCCUUUGGAGGAGCUCAGAAGAUCAUAUAUCGAUCCCAGACAUUGAAACAAGAAGGUCUCCACUACGAUUGACAUUUCUAUGAAAUGGGACAUUCAUACAAUUCAUACAAUGAAUACAGUGUAACAAGAUACAAAGAGACGAGAGUCACCAACAAACCAGGGAGAGAUGGGAACCAGGUUCUCCUCUCACAGCCAUCAGAAGGAAUCAACUGCCAACUCUGACUUUGAAUUUUCAGAUUGCCACUGUGUGAGGACACAACUGCUGCUUUCACCUCCUAGUCCAUGGCUCUUUGUCACUGCAUCUCUGUUGAACUGAUCUGUGGUAUUUCCUACAUCUUGGGUUGUUUCAUGGAUACACUCCGAUGUGUCCACUGACUACCUAAUAGAAUCCCUCAAGGGUGUAGAUUGACAGCAUAACCCCCCACAGGCAAAUGAAAUGGAUCAUGUAGCAUGGUUUGCAGUGGCAAGCAUGGGGGCUGCAAUUUGGGUAUUUGUCUAUGUAUUCGCCUCACAUGUAUGUAGAUAUUAGAGAGUGAAUGGAUUAUCUGAAUUAUGAAACCAUAGACAAGUUUAAUAGAGCACCUAUAGCCACCCUUCUCUAGAUUCAACUGUACAGCUUCAGUUAAGGUCAACAGAGUCCAGACAGUCCAAGAUGGCGUCACCCACAAGUCUGGCAGUGGGUACUGCCUGGACUUUGCACGUCAGUCAUAGGGCUCCGAAGAGCUUUAUGUGCUUCUUCAAUGGGUUCCUCCAGACAGUUUCCCAGAAGUGAGACCGGCCGUGCACAACUUUAACUUCUGCCUGAGUUUUAGAGACAAGUAUUCCCUUAACAAAUAUUAUGUCUACUGCUCUGUACAGAGUAAUUCCCCUUUGUGAAUGUCGCCUAUCCCUCGUGUUCAAGUGUGGAAAACAGCCAGCUGCACUGUCUACCUGAGUGCAUUCAAUCAACUCCUAAAUUAAGUAGUUCCCGUGGGAAUGUAACUCAGUGUUUGUGUCCCAAGACUCAUGGACCAUGCAUUUGUUAGGUGGGUUUCAUCCUCAUUACAAAACACAUCCCAGGGCUCCUACUUGGAGAAAGCAGAGAGCAAGCAUUUUGCCUUAAUUAUAUUCGUAUCAUAUUAAAAGAAAAACAAAACAAAA